GACGUAGGAGGCGAGCGUUGUCCGGAUUCAUUGGGCGUAAAGAGCGCGCAGGCGGCUUGGUAAGUCGGAUGUGAAAUCCCGAGGCUCAACCUCGGGUCUGCAUCCGAUACUGCCCGGCUAGAGGUAGGUAGGGGAGAUCGGAAUUCCUGGUGUAGCGGUGAAAUGCGCAGAUAUCAGGAGGAACACCGGUGGCGAAGGCGGGUCUCUGGGCAACUACUGACGCUGAGGAGCGAAAGCGUGGGGAGCGAACAGG
rnacentral:rRNA from 1 species